UGCUAGUCGCGUGCUUCAGCCAAAACGAGGCACGGCAAACAGCUCAGUAACACGUGGCUAAUCUGCCCUUAGGACGCGAACAACCCCGGGAAACUGGGGCUAAUUCUCGAUAGGUGAAGAACUCUGGAAUGAGUCUUUGCCUAAAAGAGCUUACGUUAUGCUCGUAAGUUUCGCCUAAGGAUGAGGCCGCGACCGAUCAGGUUGUUGGUGAGGUAAUGGCUCACCAAGCCUUUUACCGGUGCGGGCCGUGAGAGCGGGAGCCCGGAGAUGGGCACUGAGACAAGGGCCCAGGCCCUACGGGGCGCAGCAGUCGCGAAAACUUUGCAAUACACGAAAGUGUGACAGGGCUAUCCCGAGUGCCAUCCGCUGAGGAAGGCUUUUACCCAGUCUAGAACGCUGGGGGAAUAAGGAGAGGGCAAGUCUGGUGUCAGCCGCCGCGGUAAUACCAGCUCUCCGAGUGGUGUGGAUGUUUAUUGGGCCUAAAGCAUCCGUAGCUGGCUAGGUAAGUCCCCUGUUAAAUCCACCGAAUUAAUCGUUGGAUCGCGGGGGAUACUGCUUGGCUAGGGGACGAGAGAGGCAGACGGUAUUUUUGGGGUAGGGGUGAAAUCCUAUAAUCCCAGGAAGACCACCAGUGGCGAAGGCUGUCUGCUAGAACGCGCCCGACGGUGAGGGAUGAAAGCUGGGGGAGCGAACCGGAUUAGAUACCCGGGUAGUCCCAGCUGUAAACGAUGCAGACUAGGUGUUUGGACGGCCACGUGCCGUUCUAGUGCCGCAGGGAAGCUGUUAAGUCUGCCGCCUGGGGAGUACGAUCGCAAGAUUGAAACUUAA
rnacentral:rRNA from 1 species